rnacentral:rRNA from 1 species
CCUACGGGUGGCAGCAGUCGAGAAUCAUUCACAAUGGGGGAAACCCUGAUGGUGCGACGCCGCGUGGGGGAAUGAAGGUCUUCGGAUUGUAAACCUCUGUCAUGUGGGAGCAAAUUAAAAAGAUAGUACCACAAGAGGAAGAGACGGCUAACUCUGUGCCAGCAGCCGCGGUAAUACAGAGGUCUCAAGCGUUGUUCGGAAUCACUGGGCGUAAAGCGUGCGUAGGCUGUUUCGUAAGUCGUGUGUGAAAGGCGCGGGCUCAACCCGCGGACGGCACAUGAUACUGCGAGACUAGAGUAAUGGAGGGGGAAGCGGAAUUCUCGGUGUAGCAGGGAAAUGCGUAGAUAUCGAGAGGAACACUCGUGGCGAAGGCGGGUUCCUGGACAUUAACUGACGCUGAGGCACGAAGGCCAGGGGAGCGAAAAGGAUUAGAUACCCCAGUAGUC